rnacentral:rRNA from 1 species
UUGGGUUUAAAGGGUCCGUAGGUGGAAUUGUAAGUCAGUGGUGAAAUCUUUCGGCUUAACCGGAAAACUGCCAUUGAUACUGCAGUUCUUGAGUAUGCUCGAGGUAGGCGGAAUAUGUCAUGUACCGGUGAAAUGCAUAGAUAUGACAUAGAACACCAAUAGCGAAGGCAGCUUACCAGAUCAUAACUGACACUGAGGGACGAAAGCGUGGGGAGCGAACAGGAUUAGAUACCCUGGUAGUCCACGCCGUAAACGAUGAUCACUAGACAUUGGCGACAUACUGUCGGUGUCAAAGCGAAAGUAUUAAGUGAUCCACCUGGGGAGUACGCCGGCAACGGUGAAACUCAAAGGAAUUGACGGGGGCCCGCACAAGCGGUGGAGCAUGUGGUUUAAUUCGAUGAUACGCGAGGAACACUUACCUGGGCUUAAAUGCAGAACGACCGAUCCGGAAACGGAUCUUUCUUCGGACGGACUGCAAGGUGCUGCAUGGUUGUCGUCAGCUCGUGCCGUGAGGUGUCGGGUUAAGUCCCAUAACGAGCGCAACCCCUAUCGUUAGUUGCCAGCGGAUAAUGCCGGGGACUCUAACGAAACUGCCCGUGCAAGCGGAGAGGAAGGUGGGGAUGACGUCAAAUCAUCACGGCCAUUACGUCCAGGGCUACACACGUGCUACAAUGGCGCAUACAAAGGGCGGCUACCACGCGAGUGGAUGCUAAUCUCUAAAGUGCGUCUCAGUUCGGAUUGAAGUCUGCAACUCGACUUCAUGAAGCUGGAAUCGCUAGUAAUCGCGCAUCAGCCAUGGCGCGGUGAAUACGUUCCCGGGCAUUGUACACACCGCCCGUCAAGCCAUGGAAGCUGGGGGUGCCUGAAGUCAGUGACCGCAAGGAGCCGCCUAGGGCAAACUAGUAACUGGGGCUAAGUCGUA